UGCUGCAUGGCUGUCGUCAGCUCGUGUCGUGAGAUGUUGGGUUAACGUCCCGACAACGAGCGCCAACCCUGCAUUUAGUUGCCAGCAUUCAGUUGGGCACUCUAGAUGGACUGCCGGUGUUAAACCGGAGGAAGGUGGGGAUGACGUCAAGUCCUCAUGGCCCUUAUGCCUAGGGCUACACACGUGCUACAAUGGUGGUCACAAACUGAAGCGAAGUCGCAAGACGAAGCCAAUCGGAGAAAAGCCAUCUAAGUUCAGAUUGAUCUCUGCAACUCGAGAUCAUGAAGUUGGAAUCGCUAGUAAUCGCGGAUCAGAAUGCCGCGGUGAAUACGUUCCCGGGCCUUGUACACACCGCCCGUCACACCAUGAAAGUCGGCUGUACCAGAAGUCGCUGCGCUAACCGUAAGGAGGCAGGCGCCCAAGGUAUGGUCGAUGAUUGGGGUGAAGU
rnacentral:rRNA from 1 species